AGGCCUGUAGCUCAGUUGGCUAGAGCGCACCCCUGAUAAGGGUGAGGUCGGCAGUUCGACCCUGCCCAGGCCUA
rnacentral:tRNA from 1 species